ensembl:lncRNA C8orf34-AS1 C8orf34 antisense RNA 1
AGACAAAAAACACCUGAAGCUGGUGAUCAGCAGCUUCCCAUUAAGAUCUUAGGAGUUGGGUGAUUGGGCUCAAGCAUGCGCACUAAGAGGCACAGUAGUAGAGUUUAACUGGUAUAUGACCUUCCUCUAGGAACACUUGACUGGUAAGGGAAAAACACCUCAAGUGAGCAUGCGCACAACUUCAGUAAACACACUGCAUAUGUGGUGCCUCCCAAGUGCUGGCAGGCCACUGCACAUGCAGACAGCCCAUCCCAAGGGAAGAAUCAGAGAGAAGAGACAUAAAACCCUGGAAGCAUGCCAACAUAUAAAACCCCACGUCAAGGACUAAAUGGCACACUUGGAUCUCUCAAGUCACCUCCAUGGUCCUCUUCCAAGUAUACUUAACUCUCUUUCAUUCCUGCUCUAAAACUUUUUAAUAAAUAUUCACUCCUGCUCUAAAACUUGCCUUGGUCUCUCACUUUGCUUUAUGGUUCUCAUAUGAAUUCUUUCCUCUGAAAAGGCAAAAAUCAAGUUACUGCAGACAAAUAUGGAUUCAUCCCUGCUUACAUACUUUGGUGCUGUUGUUACCAAAACACCAGGGGUUCGGUCUAGGUCCUGCUACUUGCCACACAGAAAGCCAAGCCCUAAGAUGACAACUAUUGACAAGGAAGAAGGCUUUAAUCAGGUGCUGCAGCUGAGGAGAUGGGAGCUCAGUCUAAAUCCAUCUCCCUGACCCACUAAAACUAGGGGUUUAUAUAGAAGGGAAGAAAUGUAACAAUGUAAGAGAACAGGAACUAGGGAGGGGCAAGGAAGCAAUAAUGUUGAAUGAUAGGUCCUGGCAUCUGAUUGUCUGGAUGUGGUAAUCUGGUGAAUUUUAGUUCCUUGAUAUUUUUUUUUUGAGAGGCCUGAAAGUUGUUUCCUGAGGAAGGAACUCAGAUAAAACAAAUAUAAGUUUUAAGUUUUAAGACCAAAAGUGUCAAUUCCUAUGUUUAUCAAGAAGAACUGUCUAUGGGACAAUUGGGUCAGGUUCACCAUGACUGGGAUACUGCAUGGGAUGGGUUUGUGAGAGCACCAGGUAUCCUAAGGGAAACUUUGGAGGGAACCAGCUACCAGAUGGUUUGAUUAGUCUUUUUUCCUAUACCCAGGUUGGACACCUAAUUUGCACAUCAGGACUGCCAUGGACCAUGGUGCAAUGAAGGUGAAGACUGGAGCACUCAUCACCCACGGGUCUCACUUUGUUGCCCAGGCUGGAGUAUAGUGCCCUGAUCACAGCUUGCUGCAACCUCAAGCUCCCAUGCUCAAGCAAGCUUCCUGCCUCAACUUCCCAAGUAGCUGAGACCACAGGCAUGCUCCAUGACACCUGAACUCCUGAACUCAAGCGAUCCUCCUGCCUCAGCCUUCCAAAGUGCUGGGAUUACAGGCAUGAGCCCCUGAACCCUGCCUACCCUCUGUUUCUAUGUGGUGUUUGUCUUUCUAAGCCUGGCCUAUUUCGUGUAACAUAAUUUCCUCCAGAUUUAUCCAUAUUGUCUCAAAUGACCAGAUUUCUUUCUUUUUUAAGGCUGAAUAGUAUUCCAUUGUACAUAUAUACUACAUUUUAUUUAUCCAUUCAUCUGUUGAUGGACACUUAGGUUGAUUCCAUAUCUUGGCUAUUGUGAAUAAGCUGCAAUGAACAUAGGAGUGCAGAUACUGCUUUGACAUAUUCAUUUCAUUUUCUUUGGAUAUGUAUCCAGAAGUGGAAUUGGGCUGGAAUAUAGGCAGUUCUAUUUUUAAUAUUUUGAGGAAACUCCAUAUUACUUUCCAUAAUAGCUGUGCUAAUUUACAUUCCCACCGCCAAUGUAUAAGGGCUUCCUUUUCUCCACAUCCUCUCCAACACUGGUUAUCUCUUGUCUUUUUGAUAUGUUUUCUCUUCUCUGUAAAGCUAUUGGUUGUAGCAUUUUACUUUUUCCAAAUUUUUUUAAUCAAACUUUUGAAAUGUAUAGCUGAAAUGAAAGAAUUUUAGCAUGAAUGCUAAUAUACACUCAGCACCUAUAUUCUUGCUUUUUCAUGUAUUUACUCCUGAAUUAAUAUAUUACUUGUUAUAUGCUUUUGAAAGUAAACUGCAAACAAGUGCAUGCUUCUCCUAGAUCUUUCCACAUGCUCUGC